GCGGGCAUGGUGGAAUUGGCAGACACGUAAGAUUUAGGAUCUUAUGCCGCAAGGUGUGCAGGUUCAAACCCUGUUGCCCGCACCA
rnacentral:tRNA from 1 species